UUCCCGGAUUUGAAGGAUGCAUCAGCUGUAUCCUUCACGGCCCAACGUAUCCAAAGAUCCUUCACGGCCCAACGUAUCCCUCCCAAGAUUCAUUGCGCACUCAAUCAAUGGAGAUGGCGGAGAAUGGCGAUUUAAGUUUUGCAUUUAAAUGAUUGCAAGUAUCCAGGGUCAGGAGAGGGGGUAGGUGGGAAACCAACUGCUGCCACUUGGCCCUGGUUUGUCCCCAUGGAUAAGGUAUUGGGACAGAGGCAUUCCACCAACCCCCCUGUCCUAAUUGCCUCCAUCCCUGAGAACACACCACGGCCAAGUACAGCAUUGGUGGAGGACAAGGAUCAGGAGGAGGAAAGACAGCGAGGGCCAAGGUCCAGAAAGAGGGACAGAGAGGAAGACAUGUUCCAGAGUCGCUCACUAUCUUCCGAAAAGGACUCAAGACUCACCUGUUCAGAGUCCACCUCGACUCUGCAUAGCCACCCUCCCCCUUCUGGCCACCAUUGUACACUGUGUUGUAUUGUAUUGUAUUAUAGUACUUAACUGUGUAGCAACUGCAGUAGCUGCUAUUAUGGCACAGGGAAUUGAUUAGCCUAGCGAUUGUGGUACUUGCACUUUGUUCUAUGAACAUCCUUUCUGUACCGACAGCGAUAUAUAGAUGCACUUCUUAUGACAAAUGUACUUAUUGUAAGUCGCUUUGGAUAAAAGCGUCUGCUAAAUGCCCUAAAUGUAAAAUGUAAAUGUUCCAGUUAAUAAAGAGGACAUGAGGCUACAAAGGGAGGAGAGAAGAGCCCAGGAGAGCAGGGAAAGAAUGGAUAGGUUUUUCUCAAUUUUGGAGCGUUUGGUGGACAAAUAACUUAUGUUCUUUUAUAUUUAACACAUUGUUUAUUAUUAUUUACAUAUUUAUUGAAACUAACUUAUUUAACUAUUUAUUAACUAACUAUUUAACUAACUUUUUUUGUAUUGACUAAUGUAGUCGUAUAUAACUUAUAAAACAUAUAUAAAAUAAAACUAUUUACAACAAAAAACCUUCAUGUGAC
ensembl:lncRNA